rnacentral:rRNA from 1 species
UUGGGGGUGUAAAGCUUUUGCGGUGUGGGAUGGGCCCGCGGCCUAUCAGCUUGUUGGUGGGGUAAUGGCCUACCAAGGCGACGACGGGUAGCCGGCCUGAGAGGGUGACCGGCCACACUGGGACUGAGAUACGGCCCAGACUCCUACGGGAGGCAGCAGUGGGGAAUAUUGCACAAUGGGCGCAAGCCUGAUGCAGCGACGCCGCGUGAGGGAUGACGGCCUUCGGGUUGUAAACCUCUUUCAAUAGGGACGAAGCGCAAGUGACGGUACCUAUAGAAGAAGGACCGGCCAACUACGUG